AACAGGGAUUCCCCUAGUAACGGCGAGUGAACCGGGAAGAGCUCAAAUUUUGAAUCUGGCUUGCUUGCUAGUCCGAGUUGUAGUCUGAAGAAGCGUUUUCCAUGAAAGCUGAGGCACAAGUCCUUUGCAACAGGGCAUCAUAGAGGGUGAGAAUCCCGUCCAUGGUCUCAUGCAUUUCAUUUUGUGAUACGUUUUCUAAUAGUCAGGUUGUUUGGGAAUGCAGCCUAAAAUGGGUGGUAAAUUUCAUCUAAAGCUAAAUAUUGUCGAGAGACCGAUAGCGAACUAGUACCGUGAGGGAAAGAUGAAAAGAACUUUGAAAAGAGAGUUAUAAAGUACGUGAAAUUGUUAAAAGGGAAAC
rnacentral:rRNA from 2 species